rnacentral:lncRNA from 1 species
GAACUCUGCCAUCAGCUGUGAGCACCCCGAGCCCUUGAAGGGUGAUGGUGUCGUCAACUCCCAUGAAGGUGGCCAAGGCAAGAAGAAGGAUGGCCAGCCUAGGGGUCUCAGCAGUAACCACCUGGCUUAUAGCAUCCUGGAUAUCCCACCAUGGUAUCUCUGUAUCUUCUUGGGAGUACAGCACUUCCUCACAGCCCUGGGGGGACUCGUGGCAGUUCCACUCAUCCUGGCCAAGGACCUGUGUUUGCAGCAUGACCCCCUGA